rnacentral:rRNA from 1 species
UACGGAGGAGGCAAGCGUUAUCCGGAAUUAUUGGGCGUAAAGCGUCCGUAGGUGGUUUAGUAAGUCUGCUGUUAAAGCGCGGGGCUUAACUCCGUAUCGGCAGUGGAAACUACUAGACUAGAGUGUGGUAGGGGUAGAGGGAAUUCCCAGUGUAGCGGUGAAAUGCGUAGAUAUUGGGAAGAACACCGGUGGCGAAGGCGCUCUACUGGACCAUAACUGACACUCAGGGACGAAAGCUAGGGGAGCGAAUGGG